rnacentral:rRNA from 2 species
UACGGAGGGAGCGAACGUUGUUCGGAUUCACUGGGCGUAAAGGGCGUGUAGGCGGCUUGGUAAGUCAGGGGUGAAAUCCCGCGGCUCAACCGCGGAGUUGCCUUUGAAACUGCCGAGCUUGAGGCCGUGAGAGGAGACUGGAAUUCCCAGUGUAGCGGUGAAAUGCAUAGAUAUUGGGAAGAACACCAGUGGCGAAGGCGAGUCUCUGGCACGGAUCUGACGCUGAGGCGCGAAAGCUAGGGGAGCAAACGGG